GGUUGUAUGGAGUAGCUGGUUAACUUAGGAGAUUCUGAUUGAUUGGGGCUUCGAGCCUCCAAUCCGAUUCGACCUUCUCUUGCCCUGGGUUCGAAUCCCAGUACGACCU